GAUAAUGAAGUAAAUAAUUACAUUUAGUUUCGACCUAAAAUUAGGAAUAAAUAUUCCCUUAUCU
rnacentral:tRNA from 1 species